rnacentral:misc_RNA from 1 species
UCCGGUUUGUCACCGGCAGUCUCCCAUGAGUCCCCAGCCCCUCCGAAGAGGGCUGCUGGCAACAUGGAACGAGGGUUGCGCUCGUUGCGGGACUUAACCCAACAUCUCACGACACGAGCUGACGACAGCCAUGCAGCACCUGUGUUCCGAUUCCCUUUCGGGCACACCCGCCUCUCGGCGGGCUCUCGGACAUGUCAAGGGUAGGUAAGGUUUUUCGCGUUGCAUCGAAUUAAUCCACAUAAUCCACCGCUUGUGCGGGUCCCCGUCAAUUCCUUUGAGUUUUAACCUUGCGGCCGUACUCCCCAGGCGGUCGACUUCACGCGUUAGCUUCGUUACUGAGAGUGUCAAACCCCCAACAACCAGUCGACAUCGUUUAGGGCGUGGACUAC